CGGAUCACGCCGCGUGAGGGAUGAAGGCCUCUGGGCUGUAAACCUCUUUUAUCAAGGAAGAAGAUCUGACGGUACUUGAUGAAUAAGCCACGGCUAAUUCCGUGCCAGCAGCCGCGGUAAUACGGGAGUGGCAAGCGUUAUCCGGAAUUAUUGGGCGUAAAGCGUCCGCAGGCGGUCUUUUAAGUCUGUCGUCAAAGCGUGGAGCUUAACUCCAUUUCUGCGAUGGAAACUGGAAGACUAGAGUGUGGUAGGGGCAGAGGGAAUUCCCGGUGUAGCGGUGAAAUGCGUAGAUAUCGGGAAGAACACCAGUGGCGAAGGCGCUCUGCUGGGCCAUAACUGACGCUCAUGGACGAAAGCCAGGGGAGCGAAAGGGAUUAGAUACCCCUGUAGUCCUGGCCGUAAACGAUGAACACUAGGUGUCGGGGGAAUCGACCCCCUCGGUGUCGUAGCCAACGCGUUAAGUGUUCCGCCUGGGGAGUACGCACGCAAGUGUGAAACUCAAAGGAAUUGACGGCGGCCCGCACAAGCGGUGGAGUAUGUGG
rnacentral:rRNA from 1 species